rnacentral:rRNA from 1 species
CCGGGGUGAGUAAUGUCUGGGAAACUGCCUGAUGGAGGGGGAUAACUGCUGGAAACGGUAGCUAAUACCGCAUAACGUCGCAAGACCAAAGAGGGGGACCUUCGGGCCUCUUGCCAUCGGAUGUGCCCAGAUGGGAUUAGCUAGUAGGUGGGGUAACGGCUCACCUAGGCGACGAUCCCUAGCUGGUCUGAGAGGAUGACCAGCCACACUGGAACUGAGACACGGUCCAG